rnacentral:rRNA from 1 species
GGAGAGAAUAAGAAAAAUAAUUUUCGUAAUUUUAGUAAUUUUUAAUGAAAAUAAAGUAAAGACUAAAGAGAAAAGUACUGUGAAGGAAAGUUGUUAAAACUUUUUAUAGAAGAAGUAAAAUUUUGUGCCUCGUGUAUCAGAAAAAGUUUAUAUAGUUUAAUUACAAUAAGUAUCUCGAAAUAAAAUACAGUAAUUUUUAUAAAAUUUUCUUUUUAGAAAAAAAGAAUUUAAUAUAAAAUUUAAAGUGAAAUGCUAGCUGAGUUUUAUGAUAUCUAGUUUUUUUAAAAAUAAAUUUAAUUUAAUUUUUAUAAAGAAAAAGUUAUAAAAUUAAAUGGUAGGGGGGAUUAGCUCUUUACGGAAAAGAUAAUGAAAUAGUUAAAUAAAAGUAAAUUAUAUAUAAAUUAGGCUUAGAAGUAGCUAUAUUGAAAAAGUGUUUUAACUAAAUUAUAAUUGCUUGAAUAUUUAAAAUAAAACUUUUCUUAGGUAUAAAAAAAUGGCUUAAACAAAACAAAACAAGAUAUGAUGAUUUUAUUAGUAAAAUUUAUUGAGUAAAUAAAGAUAUUAAAAGGUAAAAAUUGUUUAAAAAAAUAAGUA